CGUGAAUGCCAUCAUUUCAAUCCAUUAUGCGGUCGUUUUAACAGCCCAUGGUAGCCUUUAGGCAAUCUUCAAUUAUCGCAUUACUUUCAUCUGAUACACUGAACAGCACCCUGUUUCACAAAAACAGCAUCCAAAAAACAAAAAAUGGCAGUAGCAAAAGGAGUUUGCCUGAGCCAUAUCUCCAGAGAAUCCACAGAUAUUACACGCCUUGCCAACUUCUACAAAGAGACUUUUGGGUUUGAGGAGAUAGAGAGUCCGGACUUCGGCUUCAAGGUGAUAUGGCUGAAUCUGCCUCAAGCUUUCAGUUUUCACUUAAUAGAAAGAGCCCCCACUACCAGGCUUCCAGAAGGGCCUUAUAGUGCUACUUCACCAGUUCUUGAUCCUAGCCAUCUCUCUAGAGGCCAUCACAUCUGCUUCUCUGUUUCUAAUUUUGAUUCAUUUGUCCAAACUCUCCAGGAUAAGGGAAUAAAAACUUUCCAAAGGUCCGUUCCUGGACGACCAGUUAGGCAGGUCUUCUUCUUUGAUCCGGAUGGUAACGGGUUGGAGGUUCAGAGUCGCGAAGAAUAAAAUUGCAUUCAGUUGCAAUUGGAGUAUAGCUGCUGUAAGACGGGAAAUAAAUAAAUGGUGACUGGUUGGGGUCAAAUGAUGCGCUGCCCAUAUGCCCUACUUAAUUAUCAUAUAUCAGAUUCUUGGGUCCUAGAGUAUGGUUUUCAUCAAGAAUAAAGCUUCAGUAUUCAUAAUCCUUUAGGUUAUCACAGAAUAAAGCAUUUGGCUGUCUCCCUUUCAAAUACCAUUGUAUGUUCAUGGACCUUAACAUGCCUUCAGCAUGCAAAAUCUAAGCCAUUUAUCUGUUAAAUGAAACAUUCACCAUUUAUACAGGUCACUUUGGUUGUGGCUCCAAUCCAACCAAGUGAUGUCCCAAUGCAUCAAAAUCCUUCUAUAGCAGAAUUCCCCACCGUCUUUAAGAGAACCAAGUGCUUCCUUGCUUUGCUUUGCUCGCUCCCUUUCAACUUGGUUGUCGCUCACUGAUUCGGCAAGCACUUGUGCUAACCCGACUUGGGCUCAUUUUUAGCACCCUUGCGCGUCCUUCUGUCACCCUUUAUAUCGUUAACUAAUAAAACUAGCAUUAGGAAAUUGGUCAGCUCCCAAUGACCAAGUCAGCAUAGGCAUACCAGCCACUAGCCCGGCAUGAAUCUGAGUUCCACCCACAAUGAAUCAAGAGAACUCCACAUAGCUUUGUGAUUCAGAAUCUGACAUUACAGAAUCCAUCCUUCGAAAAAGAUACCCUUCCCGUUUCAAACCCAGAUGCGAUCUUGCUAACCCUCCUUAGACGUGGCCCUUUAUAAGCUGCAUCACACCACAUGAAAUGGACCUCACAUUUUCCCAAUCCGAAUGCCAUCUCCUCCAUUUGAUCAUUACUCAACACAAAGUCACUACUAAAGCAUAUGCAAACUACUCUGUCAUCUUCCUGCAUGUGGAGCCCACACCUUUGUCCAUUCCACGAAACAGAACUGGCGCCACAUCUAUUGUGACUUGUGAGCUUUAGGAGGGAGUAAAGGUCCUAGUGUCCAUACUCGAUCGGAUUGUUACCCAAUGCCUUCCUGGAGCUGAAAACGGGAUCCCAACUUGCUAUUUCAGCAAGAAAUGCAUCCUUAGCUAAUUCUAGUGUCUCUCCUUCAAUUACUUACGGCAUAUUGGAGAAACAUCUGCCACCAUGAUGAUCUUGGACAAUUGGGAAACUACGGAAUUGAAACUACAUGUCUACAUUGUUCUGGUCUCUGAUAUUUGGCAUAGUGAGCCAGAUAGAACAUAUAACAGACAAAGCCUUAGCCACCUGAAGGAUAGGCUAAUGAAGCAAGGAUAGCGGCCAAGUCCAUAUGUAUAUAAUAAAGCUUUACCAAGUUGAUGAGUUUUGAUGUAGAAGAAACUGUCUAUUUGAUAGUAUCAUAGCUUUCCUCCACACUUUUUUUUUUUCUUUUUGGUUCUUAAUUAAAGAUUGAUAAUUCUAAUAGCAUUCUCUUAUUGGUGGUAA